CUCUGUAUAACUAUUCUCCUAUCACACUUCCACCUUUCCAGAUAUUCUCCUGGUGAUCUAAGGUUCCACAAAACUUCUUUAUCCCCUAUAUCCCCAUUGGCUCCAUGACUGUAUCUCUUUAUAUAACCUUUCCACAACAGCCAUAGCAAACAUUUCAUAAGACAGUUUGACAAUUGGUGGCAUUGAAGUGAUACUGCACAUUUACAUUUUUAC